CGCGGAGUGGAGCAGUUGGUAGCUCGUCGGGCUCAUAACCCGAAGGCCAUAGGUUCGAGUCCUAUCUCCGCUA
rnacentral:tRNA from 1 species